rnacentral:snoRNA from 1 species
UCUUGUGAUGACAAAAGGCUUUUUGGCCUGAAUCUAAUCCCAGCUCGUCGAAUGCCUCACCAAAACAACGCUUAGAGUGCAUUAUGUGAUAGACUAUAUUCUGAUAGA